rnacentral:rRNA from 1 species
AAAUGAAAGUAAAAAGUUGAGAUUAUGUUAAAAGAAAUUUUUUUUUUUUACAUUUCUCUCUUAAGGGAAGACGAGAAUUUAAUUAAUAAUAUAUUUAUAUAUUGUUAAUAAAAAUUUUUCGCACUCCCAGGGCGCUUGUUUCACGCUUUGCGUGUCAAUGCGCACCUAGAGCGUACACGCUGAUACCCGAAAGAUGGUGAACUAUGCCUGGCCAGGACGAAGCCAGGGGAAACCCUGGUGGAGGUCCGCAGCGAUUCUGACGUGCAAAUCGAUCGUCGGAGCUGGGUAUAGGGGCGAAAGACCAAUCGAACCAUCUAGUAGCUGGUUCCCUUUGAAGUUUCCCUCAGGAUAGCUUGCGCUCGGUUGAGAAGAGUCUCAUCCGGUAGAGCGAAUGAUUAGAGGCAUUGGGGUCGAAACGACCUCAACCUAUUCUCAAACUCCAAAUAGAUGAGACCCCCGGCUUUCUUAAAAUUGAA